ACCAUAUUGAAACACUGGUUCUCGUAUGAUCACUGAUGUUAAACAAUAUCGUCUAGUCAGUAACUAGAUGGGUGACCACUUGGGAAUACCAGGUGCUGUAAG